CUCGUAGGCGGCUCGUCGCGUCCGGUGUGAAAGUCCAUCGCUUAACGGUGGAUCCGCGCCGGGUACGGGCGGGCUUGAGUGCGGUAGGGGAGACUGGAAUUCCCGGUGUAACGGUGGAAUGUGUAGAUAUCGGGAAGAACACCAAUGGCGAAGGCAGGUCUCUGGGCCGUCACUGGCGCUGAGGAGCGAAAGCGUGGGGAGCGGACA
rnacentral:rRNA from 1 species